AUCAACUCACAACUUAGAAACUGAUGUUAUUCAUAGAUUCCAGGCAUUGUAUAGAGGAACACUGUGAAACUCCCUGCCCUGUUGUGUUUCUCUCUGACCACCGGUGCAUGCAUCCCGUGUCACGUACCCCCUGCUUGCUCAAAUCAAUCACGACGUUUUCAUGUGAAAUCUUUAGUGUUGUGAGCCCUUAAAAGGGACAGAAAUUGUGCACUUGGGGAGCUCGGAUUUUAAGGCAGUAGCUUGCCGAUGCUCCCAGCUGAAUAAAGCCCUUCCUUCUACAACUCGGUGUCUGAGAGGUUUUGUCUGUGGCUCGUCCUCCUUUUCUUGGUUCCCUGACCGGGAAGCGAGGUAACUGAAGGACGGCUGAGGCAGCCUCUUAGGAGGCUUAGGCCUGCCCUGUGGAGCAUCCCUGCGGGGGACUCCGGCCAGCCUGAGUGACGCGAUCCAAAGAGCAGGUAGGCAAUUGUCCCGGUGGAACGCCUCAGAGCAGCGUGUAGCAGGCCCCCGCAGAGGAUUAACAUAGUGGCUGAACACCGGGAAGGAACUGGCACUUGGAGUCCGGACAUCUGAAACUUGUUUAUUCUAGUGGGCCUAACCUCCGAGACCAUCCUUAAACAUCUGUAAACUGGGAGCUGUACGUGGAUGGGAGCAGCUUCGCUAACCCCUGCAAAGUGACUCUGAAAAAGACAGCAAGCCCUGCUCCAGUCACACCCGGAAGCUGACUGGUCCACACGCCGCUGAAGCAUGAGGAAACUCAUCGUGGGACUCAUUUUCCUUAAAAUUUGGACUUGUACAGUAAGGACUUCAACUGACCUUCCUCAGACUGAGGGCUGUUCCCAGUGUAUACAUCAAGUCACUGAGGUAGGACAAAAGAUUGCUACAGUUCUCUUAUAUUAUGGUUAUUAUAAGUGUACGAGGACUCUGAAAGAAACUUGUUUGUAUAAUGCUAUUCUAUCCAAGGUAUGUAGCCCAGGAAAUAACCAACCUGAUGCAUGUUAUGACUCAUUUUAAGCCUCCCAUGAUCACAUUUUUAAAAUAAGACUAAGGACUGGUCCUUUUCUAAGUGACACAAGUAAAGUAAUAGCUAGAACAGAAGAGGGGUCCCCAGAAAUGUAACCUUAAAAUUUGAUGCCUGUGCCGCUAUUAAUAGUAAGCAGCAUGGGAUGGGAUGCGGUUCUCUAGAUUGAGAAAAAUAAGCAGAAAAUAAGUAUAUCUGUCAAGAAUCAUAUUUUUGUGAAAUGUGUCAAUACUGGUCUUGUGUCAUUUAGGCUACUUGAAAAAAAAAUUAAAAAUUAAAAAAAUCCUGUUUGGCUCCAAAAAGGAACAGUCAGCCCCUCCUGCAUGAGUGGGAGCUGCAACCCUUUAGAAUUGGUCAUCACAAACCCCUCAGACCCAAAAUAGAAUAAAGGAGAAUACGUAACAUUAGGCACUGAUGAAAAAGGACUAGAUCCUAGCGUAAGCAUCCUAAUAAAAGGAGAGGUUCAAAGAUGCUCUCCAGAACCGGUAUUUCAGACUUUCUAUGAUGAACUAAAUGUGCCAGUACCUGAGAUUCCAGGAAAAACUAAAAAUUUGUUUUUGCAAUUAGGCGAACAUGUCGCCCAGUCUCUGAAAGUCACUUCAUGUGAUGUUUGUGGAGGAACCGUAACAGGAGAUCAAUGGCCAUGGGAAGCCCAAGAAUUAGUUCCUACAGACCCAGUUCCUGAUGAAUUCCCGGCCCAAAAGAACCACCCUGACAAUUUUUGGGUUCUAAAAGUCUGAAUUAUUAGACAGUAUUGCAUAGCUAGAGAAGAAAAAAAAUUCACUCAUCCUGUAGGGCAGCUUAGUCGUCUUGAGCCAAAGCCGUAUAAUUAUACCACAAAAACAGUUACUUGGUGGACUUCCAAUUAUACAGAAAGAAAUCCAUUCAGUAAAUUUCCAAGGUUGCAGACUGUCUGGGCCCACCCAGAAUUCCACCAGGACUAGACUGCCCCCACCGGGUUAUACUGGACAUGUAGACAUAGAGCCUACGCUAAGCUGCCUGACCAGUGGACAGGCGGUUGUGUUAUUGGCACUAUUAAACCAUCUUUCUUCUUACUGCCCAUAAGAACAGGUGAACUUCUGGGCUUCCCAGUCUACGCUUCCCUCAAAAAAUGAAGCAUAGCCAUAAGUAAUUAAAAAUAUGAUAAAUGGCCCCCUGAAAGAAUCAUACAAUACUAUGGACCCGCCACUUGGGCACAAGAUGGCUCAUGGGGAUAUUGGACCCCCAUCUACAUGCUCAACUGAAUCAUAUGGUUACAAGCUGUUUUAGAACUUAUUACUAAUAAAACUGGUCAAGGUGUGACUAUUCUGGCCCAGCAAGAAACUCAGAUAAGAAAUGCUAUCUAUCAAAAUAGAUUUGCUCUCGACUACUUACUAGCAGCUGAAAGAGAGCUCUAUAAGAAAUUUAACCUUACUAAUUACUGUCUACACAUAGAUAAUCAAAGGCAAGUAGUUAAGACAUAGUCACAUGUGCCCAUACAAGUAUAGCACAAAUUCGACCCUGAAGCCAUGUUUAAAAAUUAAUUUCCAGCACUAGGAGGAUUUAAAACUCUUAUAAUAAAAGUUAUAAGAGUAAUAAGAACCUACUUACUGCUCCUUGUCUGAUAUCUGUACUUCUCCAAAUGAUAAAAAGCUUUGUUGCUACCUUAGUUCACCAAAAUGCUUCAACACAAGUGUACUAUAUGAAUCACUAUCAAUUUAUUGCACAAAAAGACAUUAGCAAAAAUAAGAGUGAGAACUCCCACUAAUAAAAAGUGA